UACGUAGGGUGCAAGCGUUAAUCGGAAUUACUGGGCGUAAAGCGUGCGCGGGCGGUUAUGCAAGACAGGUGUGAAAUCCCCGAGCUCAACUUGGGAACUGCACUUGUGACUGCAUAGCUAGAGUACGGUAGAGGGGAGUGGAAUUCCGCGUGUAGCAGUGAAAUGCGUAGAUAUGCGGAGGAACACCGAUGGCGAAGGCAGCUCCCUGGACCUGUACUGACGCUCAUGCACGAAAGCGUGGGGAGCAAACAGGAUUAGAUACCCGUGUAGU
rnacentral:rRNA from 1 species